rnacentral:tRNA from 1 species
GAACCCAAGGGGGCCUCGAAUGAGUUGAAUGGGGC